UAGUGCAGGCCGUGCGUUUGGUUUUGGAAGAAAAUUGUGAAAAUAGGUGGAUGCAUGGGAUUUCGUGAGAGAGGAUGGAUAGGUGGAAGUGAUGGAAGAGUGAACGGAUAUACCAACUCACAUUUAAUUUAGUAAAGGUAAUCAAAAUUGGUGAAAAUUGAAAAGUAUGAAAUAAUAUUUUUAUAAGAGCAUAGAGAAGUAGGAAAGAUGGGCAUAUUAUGUGUGGCCUACUGAUUAUUCUAAGGCAAAAUCACGCUAACUUUAUACAUGAUCAACAACGUUCAUAGGUACAAUAAUGGGGUCGUUGGGAAGAGCCAACCAGUUUUUACGACGUACACCUAGAGAAGUAGCUAGCGUGUUUUGCAAGGCCGUGUACCUCAAAUUUGAAAUUCCUAUGCUCAUAAAGAAAACAAAAACUCUCGAAGCUAGAAUUUCUGUGUAUCUCUCUAAUGAUAGCUGGAUAAUUUCCAUUCGAACCUUCAAAAAUAUCAUUCAAAACGUCCUGGCAAUCUCAUACAAUGGUGAAGUUACGUAUCUCCAUAUCCUUAACAAGAGCUAGACCCUCUCUGCAUGUGAUGGCCUCUCGAGUAGACAAUUAGUGUCACAUAUAUUGUGCACCAUGAUGGCCGAAGCACC
rnacentral:lncRNA from 1 species